rnacentral:rRNA from 1 species
UACGUAGGGGGCCAGCGUUGUCCGGAUUCAUUGGGCGUAAAGCGCGUGUAGGCGGCCAGGUAGGUCCGAUGUGAAAUCUGGAGGCUCAACCUCCAGCGGUCAUUGGAAACCAUCUGGCUAGAGUCCGGAAGAGGAGAGUGGAAUUCCAAGUGUAGCGGUGAAAUGCGUAGAGAUUUGGAGGAACACCAGUGGCGAAGGCGACUUUCUGGUCUGUAACUGACACUGAGGCACGAAGGCCAGGGGAGCAAACGGGG